rnacentral:rRNA from 1 species
AGUGAACGCUGGCGGUAGGCCCAACACAUGCAAGUCGAACGGCAGCACAGUAAGAGCUUGCUCUUACGGGUGGCGAGUGGCGGACGGGUGAGGAAUACAUCGGAAUCUACUUUUUCGUGGGGGAUAACGUAGGGAAACUUACGCUAAUACCGCAUACGACCUACGGGUGAAAGCAGGGGAUCUUCGGACCUUGCGCGAUUGAAUGAGCCGAUGUCGGAUUAGCUAGUUGGCGGGGUAAAGGCCCACCAAGGCGACGAUCCGUAGCUGGUCUGAGAGGGUGAUCAGCCACACUGGAACUGAGACACGGUCCAGACUCCUACGGGAGGCAGCAGUGGGGAAUAUUGGACAAUGGGCGCAAGCCUGAUCCAGCCAUACCGCGUGGGUGAAGAAGGCCUUCGGGUUGUAAAGCCCUUUUGUUGGGAAAGAAAAGCAGCAGGUUAAUACCCCGCUGUUCUGACGGUACCCAAAGAAUAAGCACUGGCUAACUUCGUG